UGGGGAAUUUUGCGCAAUGGGCGAAAGCCUGACGCAGCAACGCCGCGUGGAGGAUGAAGGUCUUCGGAUCGUAAACUCCUGUCCUCGGGGAAAAAGGAAGUGAUGGUACCCGGGGAGGAAGCCCCGGCUAACUCCGUGCCAGCAGCCGCGGUAAUACGGGGGGGGCAAGCGUUGUUCGGAAUUACUGGGCGUAAAGGGCGCGUAGGCGGCCUGGGAAGUUCUGGGUGAAAGCCCCCGGCUCAACCGGGGAAGUGCCUGGGAAACCACUGGGCUGGAGUGCUGGAGAGGGAAGCGGAAUUCCUGGUGUAGCGGUGAAAUGCGUAGAGAUCAGGAGGAACACCGGUGGCGAAGGCGGCUUCCUGGACAGACACUGACGCUGAGGCGCGAAAGCCAGGGGAGCAAACA
rnacentral:rRNA from 1 species